rnacentral:rRNA from 1 species
UCAAGUAAUUAAGUGCAUGUGGUGGAUGCCUUGGCAGUCAGAGGCGAUGAAAGACGUGAUAGCCUGCGAAAAGCUCCGGGGAGGCGGCAAAUAUCCUUUGAUCCGGAGAUGUCUGAAUGGGGGAACCCACCUACUUUAAGGUAGGUAUUGCAACAUGAAUACAUAGUGUUGCAAGGCGAACGAGGGGAAGUGAAACAUCUCAGUACCCUUAGGAAAAGAAAUCAAUUGAGAUUCCCUCAGUAGCGGCGAGCGAACGGGGAUCAGCCCAUUAAGUUAUGUGUGUUUUAGUGGAACGCUCUGGGAAGUGCGAACGUAGAGGGUGAUAUUCCCGUACACGAAAGGGCACACAUAAUGAUGACGAGUAGGGCGAGGCACGUGAAACCUUGUCUGAAUAUGGGGGGACCAUCCUCCAAGGCUAAAUACUCCUGACUGACCGAUAGUGAACCAGUACCGUGAGGGAAAGGCGAAAAGAACCCCUGUGAGGGGAGUGAAAUAGAUCCUGAAACCGCAUGCAUACAAGCAGUGGGAGCACCUUCGUGGUGUGACUGCGUACCUUUUGUAUAAUGGGUCAGCGACUUAUAUUCAGUAGCGAGGUUAACCGUAUAGGGGAGCCGUAGAGAAAUCGAGUCUUAAUAGGGCGUUUAGUUGCUGGGUAUAGACCCGAAACCAGGCGAUCUAUCCAUGAGCAGGUUGAAGGUUGGGUAACACUAACUGGAGGACCGAACCCACUGUCGUUGAAAAGCCAGGGGAUGACUUGUGGAUAGGGGUGAAAGGCUAAUCAAGCCUGGUGAUAGCUGGUUCUCCCCGAAAGCUAUUUAGGUAGCGCCUCGGACGAAUACCAUAGGGGGUAGAGCACUGUUUCGGCUAGGGGGUCAUCCCGACUUACCAAACCGAUGCAAACUCCGAAUACCUAUGAGUACUAUCCGGGAGACAGACUGCGGGUGCUAACGUCCGUAGUCAAGAGGAAAACAAUCCAGACCGCCAGCUAAGGCCCCAAAAUCAUAGUUAAGUGGGAAACGAUGUGGGAAGGCAUAGACAGCUAGGAGGUUGGCUUAGAAGCAGCCACCCUUUAAAGAAAGCGUAAUAGCUCACUAGUCGAGUCGGCCUGCGCGGAAGAUGUAACGGGGCUAAAACUAUGUGCCGAAGCUGCGGAUGUAUACUUUGUAUACGUGGUAGGGGAGCGUUCUGUAAGCCGAUGAAGGUGUGUUGAGAAGCAUGCUGGAGGUAUCAGAAGUGCGAAUGCUGACGUGAGUAACGACAAAACGGGUGAAAAACCCGUUCGCCGAAAGACCAAGGGUUCCAGUCCAACGUUAAUCGGGGCUGGGUGAGUCGACCCCUAAGGCGAGGCCGAAAGGCGUAGUCGAUGGGAAAAUGGUUAAUAUUCCAUUACUUCUGUGUAAUGCGAUGAGAGGACGGAGAAGGCUAAAUCAGCCUGGCGUUGGUUGUCCAGGUGAAAGGAUGUAGGCAUGUAUCUUAGGCAAAUCCGGGGUACUCUAUGCUGAGAUCUGAUAGCAAGCUGUACUUGUACAGCGAAGUGGUUGAUGCCAUGCUUCCAGGAAAAGUCUCUAAGCUUCAGUUACACAGGAAUCGUACCCGAAACCGACACAGGUGGUCAGGUCGAGUAGACCAAGGCGCUUGAGAGAACUCUGCUGAAGGAACUAGGCAAAAUGGUACCGUAACUUCGGGAGAAGGUACGCUGUUGUUGGUGAUGGAACUCGCUUCCUGAGCUGACGACAGCCGCAGAAACCAGGCCGCUGCAACUGUUUAUUAAAAACAUAGCACUCUGCAAACACGAAAGUGGACGUAUAGGGUGUGAUGCCUGCCCGGUGCUGGAAGGUUAAUUGAUGGGGUUAGCGUAAGCGAAGCUCUUGAUCGAAGCCCCAGUAAACGGCGGCCGUAACUAUAACGGUCCUAAGGUAGCGAAAUUCCUUGUCGGGUAAGUUCCGACCUGCACGAAUGGCAUAAUGAUGGCGGCGCUGUCUCCAGCAGAGGCUCAGUGAAAUCGAAAUCGCUGUGAAGAUGCAGUGUACCCGCGGCUAGACGGAAAGACCCCGUGAACCUUUACUGCAGCUUGACACUGAACUUUGACCUUACUUGUGUAGGAUAGGUGGGAGGCUUUGAAGCUGGAACGCUAGUUCCAGUGGAGCCGUCCUUGAAAUACCACCCUGGUAAUGUUGAGGUUCUAACUCUGUCCCGUGAUCCGGGACGAGGACCGUGUCUGGUGGGUAGUUUGACUGGGGCGGUCUCCUCCUAAAGAGUAACGGAGGAGUACGAAGGUGCGCUCAGCGUGGUCGGAAAUCACGCGUAGAGUAUAAAGGCAAAAGCGCGCUUAACUGCGAGACCCACAAGUCGAGCAGGUACGAAAGUAGGUCUUAGUGAUCCGGUGGUUCUGUAUGGAAGGGCCAUCGCUCAACGGAUAAAAGGUACUCUGGGGAUAACAGGCUGAUACCGCCCAAGAGUUCAUAUCGACGGCGGUGUUUGGCACCUCGAUGUCGGCUCAUCUCAUCCUGGGGCUGAAGCAGGUCCCAAGGGUAUGGCUGUUCGCCAUUUAAAGAGGUACGCGAGCUGGGUUUAGAACGUCGUGAGACAGUUCGGUCCCUAUCUACCGUGGGCGCUGGAAAUUUGAGAGGAUCUGCUCCUAGUACGAGAGGACCAGAGUGGACGAACCUCUGGUGUACCGGUUGUGACGCCAGUCGCAUCGCCGGGUAGCUAUGUUCGGAAGGGAUAACCGCUGAAAGCAUCUAAGCGGGAAGCCUACCUCAAGAUAAGAUUUCCCUAGGACUUUAUGUCCUCUAAAGAGCCGUUCGAGACUAGGACGUUGAUAGGUUGGAUGUGGAAGCAUAGUGAUAUGUGAAGCUGACCAAUACUAAUUGCUCGUGAG